rnacentral:rRNA from 1 species
CAGUCGCCACGGUAAUACGAAGGGGGCUAGCGUUGUUCGGAUUUACUGGGCGUAAAGCGCACGUAGGCGGAUUCUUAAGUCAGAGGUGAAAUCCCAAGGCUCAACCUUGGAACUGCCUUUGAUACUGGGGAUCUUGAGUUCGGGAGAGGUGAGUGGAACUGCGAGUGUAGAGGUGAAAUUCGUAGAUAUUCGCAAGAACACCAGUGGCGAAGGCGGCUCACUGGCCCGAUACUGACGCUGAGGUGCGAAAGCGUGGGGAGCAAACAGGAUUAGAUACCCCAGUAGUCCCUGUCUCUUAUAC